GUAGGCUGUGGGAUGGUCGGGAGAGUGCAAGGUGUUGCUGUUAGGUGUGGUUGGGUUUACAGAAAGGGAAGAGCAUGCAUAGAUAGGAUGGUGGAGGGAAAAAAAAGAGGGAGAGAUGGAAGGAUUGGUCAUGCGCAAGUCUGAACUGGAGGUGCAUAAAUCUCAGGAUGUGCGGCUUUUUUAAAAGAAGCUGCCGUCGGACUGAAAUCCAUUCAAAAGCAAUAAACACAGACCGCAGGCCGUUGGAGGCAGCUUAGAAAUCUCUUACAUCUGGAAGAGCCAUAAUUCAUGGGAUUUGGCCUAACAGCCAUGACAGGCAUUGGGGCGGCCAGCAACAACUGUCUCCUGUGUUAGCAGCAGUGUGUGUGUUAGCACCAAUGUGUGUGUUUGAGAGAGAGAGAGAGAGAGAGAGGGCCAGAGAGUGAGAGACAAAGAGUGACAAUAUAAAGUAAGUGUGUGUACUUGCAACUUUUUAUUUACACAGGGAACUUGUGAAGAUUAGACUCACAUGAAGGUUUGCUCAACCUUUUAUUUGUGGAACUGAGUUUGGACCUUAGAGCCUUUAAAUAUGUUUAUAAAACCCAGAACAGUGUUGGAGUACAUUUACUUAAAUACUGUACUUUUAGUUUUUAUGCCACUUACAACUACUUCUAAAAAUUUUACUUUUAACUCCACUACAUAUAUUUCAUACAGCUAUGAAACUUUGCAGAUACAUAUUUUCAUACAAAACAUGUAAUCAACAAAUAAAAUUAAAAUCAGCCUUAUC